AUUGAACGCUGGCGGAAUGCUUUACACAUGCAAGUCGAACGGCAGCACGGACUUCGGUCUGGUGGCGAGUGGCGAACGGGUGAGUAAUACAUCGGAACGUGCCCAGUCGUGGGGGAUAACGUAGCGAAAGCUACGCUAAUACCGCAUACGAUCUAAGGAUGAAAGCGGGGGAUCGCAAGACCUCGCGCGAUUGGAGCGGCCGAUGGCAGAUUAGGUAGUUGGUAGGGUAAAGGCCUACCAAGCCGACGAUCUGUAGCUGGUCUGAGAGGAUGAUCAGCCACACUGGGAGUGAGACACGGACCAGAAUCCGACGGGAGGCAGCAGUGGGGAAUUUUGGACGAUGGGCGCAAGCCUGACUCAGCCAUUCCGCGUGCAGGAUGAAGGCCUUCGGGUUGUAAACUGCUUUUGUACAGAACGAAAAGGCUCUGGUUAAUACCCGGGGCUCAUGACGGUACUGUAAGAAUAAGCACCGGCUAACUACGUGCCAGCAGCCGCCGUAA
rnacentral:rRNA from 1 species